GACGAACGCUGGCGGCGUGCCUAAUACAUGCAAGUAGAACGCACAGUUUAUACCGUAGCUUGCUACACCAUAGACUGUGAGUUGCGAACGGGUGAGUAACGCGUAGGUAACCUGCCUGGUAGCGGGGGAUAACUAUUGGAAACGAUAGCUAAUACCGCAUAAUAUUAAUUAUUGCAUGAUAAUUAAUUGAAAGGUGCAAUUGCACCACUACCAGAUGGACCUGCGUUGUAUUAGCUAGUAGGUGAGGUAACGGCUCACCUAGGCGACGAUACAUAGCCGACCUGAGAGGGUGAUCGGCCACACUGGGACUGAGACACGGCCCAGACUCCUACGGGAGGCAGCAGUAGGGAAUCUUCGGCAAUGGACGAAAGUCUGACCGAGCAACGCCGCGUGAGUGAAGAAGGUUUUCGGAUCGUAAAGCUCUGUUGUAAGAGAAGAAAGGGUGUGAGAGUGGAAAGUUCACACUGUGACGGUAUCUUACCAGAAAGGGACGGCUAACUACGUG
rnacentral:rRNA from 1 species